UAAAAGGGGUGCUUGUACCGAUUCUUUUCAAUACAAGCUGAGAUUACACCCAUUGAACCUGAUACGGAUAAUGCCGGCGCAGGGAUUUUAAUC
rnacentral:ncRNA from 1 species